GGGCAGCCAAGCUCUGGCUGUUUGUUCUUUCAGCAGCCAGGCUCUGCUCCCUGCCGCCCCCGGCUGCGGGUUCUUGUCCCGCGGGCCUUGCUCGCUCCACUCCUGCCCUGCGCGACGCUCCCCGGCCAGCAGAGCCCCCCCGGGGGUCGGGGGCCUGAGGAAUAGUGCAGAGCCUCUUGUCCCAAUGCCCCCGACGGGCUGCCUAGCUCGGGGCUGCUUCAUUUACUUCUGAACUGCAGCCACCCCUGGGGUACAACGUGGGCUCUGUUUAGCAGCCUGUAGUAACGUUCCGGAACCAUUCAGGCCGCAACGGGGGAGGGAUAGCUCAGUGGCUUGAGCAUUGGCCUGCUAAACCCAGGGUUCUGAGUUCCCUCCUUGAGGGGGCCACUUGGGGUUCUGGGGCAAAAUCAGUACUUGGUCCUGCUAGUGAAACCAUUUUAAAUGGACAUUUUAUCUUCUCUCACUGCUGGUUUGUGUGUGUGGUUUUUUUUUUUUUUACCGCCAGGGGUUUAGAUCCAAAUUGUAUUUUACAUGGUGGUCUUGUUGGGUGGCCUGUCUGAGAUCAUUUGAGUUGUGUUUCGGAGUGGGUUUAAAAACAACCCUCAUAAUUAGCUCCUUGGGAGACAAAGGACUGAGUAGACAAGCUGGCAUCUCUCGAGUGCAGUGCACCUCUUGAGAGCUGCUCCUGACCAUGCUGCCAAACUGCAGCGACUUGCUCAAAUCCACAUCCAGCAGCAGGCAGUCACAGAGUUUAUUACAAGCAGCAAGUCCAAGAUAAUAGAACACUGGAUGUAUUGACAUCUGCACGCAGACAGCAGGUCCGUGUUUGAUGGCCUGCUGCACACAGCUAAAGAAAUCCUGGAGAAGAGCUACACCCCAGGAGAGAUGUAAGAGGCUGGAAUUGUAUAAUUAGACCUUUCUGUAGCUCUCUUCAUUCCCGCACGCUGCUUCCUGCCACAGGAUGUCAGGGAUAUAACCCAAGUCAGCAGAAUCCCGGUCCUCUCCCCGACCACUUCACCAUGAUGUCGCCGGUAAUGUUAUAACUUAUCCGAAGUAUCUUUUCCUCUGCACUGAUUGACGCCCUUGUCCAAAGGUGAAUGCUGAGAUCUUGAUUUUCCUUACAAGGGUGUGACAUAAACCCACUCUGUAUUUUUAGCCACCACCCAGAUACUGGAUUCUAUGAUGAGUGGUUACCAAAAACCAAUUUAAUCAAAUACAGGGUCCUUCUAAUUUCAAGAGAUCAGCCACUUAGCCAGGUCAAUAUAUAACUCAGAUCUUAUCCAAUAAUCACAGUGAUGUUAAUCCUUGAGUAACUAAAAACAGACACACACACAAGUCCUCAUAUCAGGUUUGUAGCAGUGAUGGAAUAACCUGCUCGCCUGUGAAGUCUCUGAUAACGUCCAAAAGAUUGGAAGCUCUUCAGUCCAUAGUUCAAAAUGCUCCUUUUACUUGUAAAUCCACCGUCCAGAGAAUCAGGGCAGGAAACAGAUAAAAUGGAGAUAGCUCAGGGGUCUUUUAUAUCCUUUGCCACAAGCCUGGAAAUGUACUGUCUCUGCUUGUGGAAAGGUACUGGCCUAAGAUGGAGUCCAGGGUCACAUGAGCAUAACACAUGUCCUUGCAUAGCUUGAUGACUCUCAGGGGGUAGCCAUUGCCCAUAUUCUUGCUGAGGUGUCCACAUGCCAUGCAUCUGAAGAAGUGAGGUUUUUUUACCCACGAAAGCUUAUGCCCAAAUAGACUCAUAGACUUUAAGGUCAGAAGGGACCAUUAUGAUCAUCUAGUCUGACCUCCUGCAUGAUG